AAAGAACAGUCAGUCACGACGGAACUUGCAAAACAAACUUGUCAAUGACGGAAAGUUGCAUUGAGUGGAGAGGCUGGCGACGGUUCAUUCAGUUGCCCACCGCACGAGGAUGUGCUGGAUGUCCUUUGUUUGGUCUAUUCAAGCUUAUGCUGAGGAAGAAAAGACAGUGAUAGAGGUCAGACAAAAGCCAGAGGAGAAAACCAUGAGCCACUCAGCCAAUCACUAGACAAAAACACUCCCUGGAUACCAAAGAACCUCUCCGUGGCAAUGACACUGAAACAUCCAUCACAGGACACUACUUGGGCAUUCACAGGCAGAUGAGAUUCUCUCCGAAAGACCCAGUUCCCGAAGUGUGCGUGUGUGUGGUUCACCAUCCCUCCAAGAAGUCACCACCUUACCUGCAUGGAUCCAACCUCCAUGUCACUCCUCACUACCUGCUCCUCUGCUUGUGUCUCAUUAAUAAAACAUCUU